AUUACAACCCCGAGAUCCCAGUUGCUGAACCCCAUGUGUUGCAUAACCCAAUCCUCUCUUCCCCUUGACAUCAAGCAUAUAGUCGUCUGCUAAGCCCAGAUCUCACUCACUCUCACACUGACACUACGACGGUACAGUCACAGUUCCUCUCUAAGUAUACCAUCACUGUGUGUCUUUUGAUAACGUGUAACGUGUUAUGGGCCCAGGUUCACGCAUCGACUGAUUAGAAAGAUGGCAAACAACGUAAGUGAAAAUCAUCUCAAAGAUGUCAGCCAUGUCCCUAAGUUUGAUGGAAGCAACUUUCGUGAGUGGAGCUACGAACUUCGCAUGAUUCUUCAACAACUAGGUUUACUUUCAAUCAUGGAAGCAAGAGUUGGACACACAAUCCCCACAGAGAUAACUAAUGACAGAGGGCAAGUUACCAACACCGCCCAAAUUGAAGCAUGGAAUCUGAAAGAUGUCACGUCCAGAAACUACAUCUUUGCCACA